rnacentral:rRNA from 1 species
AGCGGCGCACGGGUGAGUAACGCGUGGGAAUAUGCCCUGGGGCUGGGGAUAACGGCGGGAAACUGCCGCUAAUACCCGGUACGCCUUGAGAGGGAAAGGAGCAAUCCGCCCUGGGAGUAGCCCGCGUUGGAUUAGCUAGUUGGUGAGGUAAGUGCUCACCAAGGCGACGAUCCAUAGCUGGUCUGAGAGGAUGAUCAGCCACACUGGGACUGAGACACGGCCCAGACUCCUACGGGAGGCAGCAGUGGGGAAUAUUGGACAAUGGGGGCAACCCUGAUCCAGCCAUGCCGCGUGAGUGAAGAAGGCCUUAGGGUUGUAAGCUCUUUCGGCGGGGACGAUGAUGACGGUACCCGCAGAAGAAGCCCCGGCUAACUUCGUGCCAGCAGCCGCGGUAAUACGAAGGGGGCAAGCGUUGUUCGGAUUUACUGGGCGUAAAGGGCGCGUAGGCGGAUCUUUAAGUCAGAGGUGAAAGCCCUGGGCUCAACCCGGGAAUUGCCUUUGAGACUGGGGAUCUUGAGUAUGGGAGAGGGUGGCGGAAUACCCAGUGUAGAGGUGAAAUUCGUAGAUAUUGGGUAGAACACCAGUGGCGAAGGCGGCCACCUGGCCCAUAACUGACGCUGAGGCGCGAAAGCGUGGGGAGCAAACAGGAUUAGAUACCCUGGUAGUCCACGCCGUAAACGAUGGAAGCUAGCCGUU